UAGGGAAUCUUCGGCAAUGGACGAAAGUCUGACCGAGCAACGCCGCGUGAGUGAAGAAGGUUUUCGGAUCGUAAAACUCUGUUGUUAGAGAAGAACAAGGACGUUAGUAACUGAACGUCCCCUGACGGUAUCUAACCAGAAAGCCACGGCUAACUACGUGCCAGCCGCUGCGGUAAUACGUAGGUGGCAAGCGUUGUCCGGCUUUAUUGGGCGUAAAGAGAGCGCAGGCGGUUUCUUAAGUCUGAUGUGAAAGCCCCCGGCUCAACCGGGGAGGGUCAUUGGAAACUGGGAGACUUGAGUGCAGAAGAGGAGAGUGGAAUUCCCUGUGUAGCGGUGAAAUGCGUAGAUAUAUGGAGGAACACCAGUGGCGAAGGCGGCUCUCUGGGCUGUAACUGACGCUGAGGAUCGAAAGCGUGGGGAGCAAACAGG
rnacentral:rRNA from 1 species